rnacentral:misc_RNA from 1 species
AUACUCGUCUCAUAGUCCAACUUGGUAGCUCGAAAUAUCCUCAGUCUUGUGUACAAAUGUAAUCAAGUUAGAAUUUAACCACAGUCGUGAAUAUUUUCUGAAAAAAAAUGAACGACAGACAGAAAGUUCUUAAGUAUGUUAGUCCAGGAAGUGAGCCCAAUCGCGGAAAACGUAUUAGUCAAUCAGUGCCACCGGAGAAAAAAAAACGAAGACUUCCUGAUGGCUUUGGAAUGGUAGCACGUGCAACAAAUCCCCCAACGACGUAUCUAGAUGAAAAUGUAAAUCGUUUACCAGACCAGAAUCGGAUUAAAAAAAUCGAUAAUGGCCCAAGGAAAGAGAGGAUAGAAAAACUCUCUACGGCCAAUGAGAGCACCAAGACGGAUGAUAAAGAUGCUGGACGACCAGUACAAGUGGUGGUUGCUCAUCCAGACCAUACUUUUGAAUUAGAUGAAGAUGCUUUAGCUGAGAUUCUACUUCAAGAUGAUGUCAAAGAUCGUAGUGUUGUUGUUGUAUCAGUAGCUGGUGCUUUUAGAAAAGGCAAAAGUUUCCUUUUGGAUUUUUUCUUGCGUUAUAUGGCAUCCAGGUAUUUAAAAGAAGAAAAAAAUGAUUUAUGGUUGGGAGAUGAAAAUGAACCAUUAAGUGGCUUUUCGUGGCGAGGUGGAUCCGAAAGAGAUACAACAGGAAUCCUCAUGUGGUCUAAAGUAUUUCCCUGUACUUUGCCAAAUGGAGAAAAGGUUGCCAUUAUUCUAAUGGAUACACAAGGAGCUUUUGACAGCCAAUCAACUGUCAGAGAUUGUGCUACAGUGUUUGCUUUAAGCACCAUGCUGUCAUCCGUUCAAAUUUACAAUCUUUCUCAAAAUAUUCAAGAAGAUGAUCUGCAACAUUUACAGCUUUUUACUGAAUACGGUCGAUUGGCGUUAGAAAAAUCUGGAUCUGUACCUUUCCAACGUCUUCAAUUUCUCGUAAGAGAUUGGAGUUAUCCUUACGAAGCACCAUAUGGUGCUGACGGUGGUCGAAAAAUUCUUAAAAGAAGGCUAGAAAUUUCAGAUAGACAACAUCCAGAGCUUCAAAGUCUACGAAAACAUAUUACCUCAUGUUUCUCUGAUAUAUCAUGUUUCCUGAUGCCACAUCCUGGUUUAAGGAUUGCUACAAAUCCCAAAUUUGAUGGCCGCUUGUCAGAAAUUGAAAGAGAGUUCAAACAACAGUUGAAAGAUCUUAUUCCUGCACUUCUUGCGCCGGAAAAUUUAGUCACAAAGAAAAUAAACGGCCAAACAGUACGAGCACGUGAUUUAUUGGAGUAUUUUAAAAGUUACAUUAGAAUUUACAAAGGGGAUGAAUUGCCAGAGCCAAAAAGUAUGUUGGUGGCUACAGCAGAAGCCAAUAACUUGUCCGCUGUGGCGGAAGCUAAAGAUCUGUAUCUACAAAUGAUGGAAUGUGUUUGUGGUGGUAGUAAACCAUUUUUAGCAACUGCACAUCUAGAGUCUGAACAUCAACGUUGUGUUGACAAAGCACUACACCAAUUUACCAACAAACGCAAAAUGGGAGGUGACGAAUUCAGUCAAGUUUAUAUGGAAAGACUCAUUAAGGAUAUGAAUGAGAGUUUUCUCCAAUUUAAAGCACACAAUGAAAGCAAAAAUAUUUUUAAAGCUGCACGAACUCCAGCUGUGUUUUUCGUCAUUGCUGUUACGACGUAUCUCUUUUCCGGUCUCUUUGGUCUUAUAGGACUUUAUGCAUUAGCUAAUAUUUGUAAUAUCAUCAUGGGUUCUGCACUUCUUACCCUGGCUUUCUGGGCAUACAUUAGAUACAAAGGAGAAUUUCGAGAAAUUGGAGUACAAAUAGACAAUUUAGCAACUCAAAUUUGGGAGAAUGCCUGGCUAUGCGCUCAUCUCAUUCAUAAAAUUCGAUAUCUUGUCCUGUCAUUUUUCCUCACACUUGCAGCCGUUCCUACUUACACUGUCGUUUACACUCACUUUCAUAAACAUGGUUACAUCUGAUCUCACGCUUCUUUAUUCCUAAUUUUACAUAAUAUUUUAUUACAUUUUGAUUGAUUUUACUUUAUAAAUCAUUUCUGUUUUAUUCUACCAUUCAAUAUUUCUUUUUAAUAACCUUAGUUUGAUCAAAUAUUAUCUAGAACUGUUAUUAUUUUUUUACUUUAUUUAAUCCUGCGCCAAUAUCUCGAGUGCUUGAGGAUUUACAGCACAAUUAAGGUAUGGAUCUGAUUGAUGACGCAAGCAAGGAUUAGUUUUCAAGAAAUAUCGCUUGAUUCUUUAAUUUUAAUGUAUGUUAGCUCGAGCAAAAAUUCAUAAUUUUGAAACCAAUCUAUCAACAAUUUGUGGAACAAUCAGUGUCAGCAGCAGUCGCACAAGCUGCAGAGAUGGCAACUAACUCAACACUGACAAUGGAUGCUGUUAAUGGAAAGAUUAAAACAUCGUAGUAAAUUUUUU